rnacentral:rRNA from 1 species
UUUGUGCCAGCAGCCGCGGUAAUACAGAGAGGUGCAAGCUUAAUCCGAAUUACUGGGCGUAAAGCGCGCCUAAGGGGUUUGUUAAGUUGGAUGUGAAAGCCCCGGGCUCAACCUGGGAACUGGAUCCCAAACUGGCAAGCUAAAAUAUGGUAGAGGGGGGGGGAAUUUCCUGUGUAGCGGUGAAAUGCGUAGAUAUUGGAAGGAACACCAGUGGCGAAGGCGGCCCCCUGGACUGAUACUGACCCUGAGGUGCGAAAGCGUGGGGAGCAAACCGGAUUAGAUACCCUGGUAGUCCCCGCCGUAAACGAAGUCAACUAGCCGGUGGGAGCCCUGAGCUCUUAGUUGCGCAGCUAACGCAUUAAGUUGACCCCCUGGGGAGUACGGCCGCAAGGUUAAAACUCAAAUGAAUUGACGGGGGCCCGCCCAAGCGGUGGAGCAUGUGGUUUAAUUUGAGGCAACGCGAAGAACCUUACCAGGCCUUGACAUCCAAGGAACCUUCCAGAGAUAGAUUGGGGCCUUUGGGAACAUUGAGACAGGUGCUGCAUGGCUGUUGUCAGCUCGUGUCGUGAGAAGUUGGGUUAAGUCCCGUAACGAGCGCAACCCUUGUCCUUAGUUACCAGCACGUUAGGGUGGGCACUCAAAGGAGACUGCCGGUGACAAACCGGAGGAAGGUGGGGAUGACGUCAAGUCAUCAUGGCCCUUACGGCCAGGGCUACACACGUGCUACAAUGGUCGGUACAAAGGGUUGCCAACCCGCGAGGGCGAGCUAAUCCCAUAAAACCGAUCGUAGUCCGGAUCGCAGUCUGCAACUCGACUCCGUGAAGUCGGAAUCGCUAGUAAUCGCGAAUCAGAAUGUCGCGGUGAAUACGUUCCCGGGCCUUGUACACACCGCCCGUCACACCAUGGGAGUGGGUUGCACCAGAAGUAGCAUAUCAGCCUCGGAUGACCUAAUCAUGUCAGUACUCUUU